CGUUAUUUUGGUCAGUUUUUUGUAUAACCAGUUUAGAUAUUUUGGUCAGUUUUUUUUAUAACCAGUUUAAACGAGAGAUAAUAGUGAGAGAGAGAUGGUCACUCUACCUGCGGUCAUCGCCUCCGGCCGAUUGUGCCUCCGACCGACUGUAGCCGGCCAUGCCCUCUGGCCGACCGAUCUAACAGCGCCACUUAAUCACGACGGCGGCUAGGGUACCGGAAUGCCUACAGGAGGCGGAGGUUUUCUGCAGAGGGGAUUUGGUUUGACACGGCAGCGGCGACGGUGGAGUUUAGGGUUCCGAUGACCCUUUUGGUACUCCGACGAGAAGCUCCAGGCCUGAAUGUUAUUUUCUCAGCUACAAGUUCAUUUGUGUGGUUGGCUGUGACCACUGUCGGUUACUUCCACUAUCGCCACCGCUAUCGCCUCCGGCGGUAUCGCCGCCGCUUGCAAAUCUGAAACUCUAACCCCCAAACCUUUCUUUCUCUUACUGGGUUUCUGCUGGUGGAAUUUUUGUGUGGUUAGCUAUGUUUAAGCUGACGGUUGUUAGGCUGUGAUGAGUAUCAAAUUCAUAUAGAUCAUUGAUAAAGAUGGCGCGGCAAGGGUGGUGGAUGGUAGGUACAGAACUGCAACCCACCUUGCAGCCAGCUUCUUUUGGAACUCUGAGCCUUAUAUUUAUUUUUAUUGUGUCUUUAAUUUUUAAUGUUUCUCUGGUGUUUACAAAUGUGUUGAUACAUAUGUGUUUGUGGUAUGCUUUUCGCUGAAUUGGUUGAUUUGUGAUAAGGAAAACAGAUUAGGUGUUAAUCGAUUGGUAAAUUUGGUGUUAAUUCUUUGUUGACAACAACUUACAUCAGAUCCUAUUAUAAUCACUUCACUUUAUUCCGUUGUUGUUUGUGUUUAUCGGCUUUCAUUAGAUCUGCGUCUAAUAGUUUAUGUCAUCUUUUCAACACCAAUUGAUUUCAGAGAAAGAGUGCAACUUUUUGUUUUUCUGUUCAAAGUAUAUCCCUUUAAUCUAUGUUAAUUGAUCAUGUUAGAUCAAGGUGUGUUUUCAUAAAUGUGUAAUCAGCAUUUAGGUUGUUAGUGGAUUGUUUAUGGAGGGUAAAAAAGGUUGGCGGGUGAGGUUUAGAGACGGCGAACCAGGUUCGUCCACGUACCCGUAUCCGUGCUACGUAGUUCUGGAAUGUUGAAGACAAUGGUUGUCAUUGACCGAUUUAUGUAUCAACGGCUUUAAUUUACCAUGAUCACAGCAAAUUCAUCGUGGAUUAUAUGAAGAUGUAAUCGUGUUUGACCAUGUGAAAAAGUAUGCUGCCAGAGAGGCUCAAAUUGUGGCCCAAGCCGGAUGAAAGUACGCCAUCCCCAUAUCUACAAAUAUGGCUGGUAGGGGUACCGGCAUUAUAGUGGGAGGCAAUCCAAAGAUGCUUGCAAAAGAAGUUAUAGAGGACAACAUACUUUCACAUAUGAGUCAAGAUAUUCCAGAUAUCGACUUUGAAGAGCCAAUGUCGCAAAAGGUAUUAUCAAAAAUGAAAAUUGAGCCAUCAUCAUUAGCUUUGCUGGCUAAGACUGCUCUAAUGGGUUAGUGGUCUUGACCUUUGACUUCAUUUCGUCAAUCGAGAACCCCUUGUAAAUGCACAUAUUAAUGUUCUUCACUUCUUGGUACUAUUUUUAUUAUUGUAGCUAAAUAUGUGGCCAAAUGAUGACUUUUUUAUACUUUUUUCAAACUUGAUAAAUUAUUGGCUUUUUAUGUAGAUUCUUUGUCCUGGGAGCAAUAAUGAUACAGUGACCUUUUCACAGUGUUUGCACUGCUGGUCAAAGCUGAGGUUAAAGCAAUGGCUUUUGUGGUUGUCGUUGACUUUGCUGGUUUUCCUACUUUGACCCAAUUCUUGAUAAAGCUAUUGAUAAACAAGAAUAUUUUCAUGAGUUUUAGGUCUAAUAAACAUUAAAGCUACUGAAAUGAGCAGCUACUUGUCUUUGUGGCUGUGUCUCUGUGAUGUUAUUGGAGCUGUUAGUAUAGGUAGACUCCAGUUUUGUUCCGCCUCUUAUAGACGCGUUCAUGGGUAGCUCGAGAGAUAUUGCAGUCGGUCCUGUGGCAGUGGUCUCUCUGUAGCUUAGAGCUUUGUUACGAGAUGAGGUUGAGCCAAAUACACCUGAAUAUUUACGUCUUGCUUUCACUGCAACAUUCUUUGCUGGAGUCACUCAAGCUGCACUCGAGUUUUUCAGAUUGGGUUUUCAUGGGAGGAGCGGUCGUUACCAUCGCGCUUCAGCAACUUAAAGGGUUGUUAGGCAUCAAGGAUUUCACAAAAAAGACUGAUUUAGUUUCGUUCAUGCGUUAUGUCGUCAACUCAGCACAUCACGGAGUACGCAAGAGGUUGGGUCGGGCAAUGGGAUAUUCGUUUAGUACGGGUUGACGUAUGCCAACUCAAGUUGGAUUGACCCAUCUACUGGUUGGAGGGUGCUAGAGGUGUGACACGAAGUUACAAACGCUAGGUUGUCGUCGCAACGCGCGACGUGGGUAAAAAACUAGUUAUAUGAAAAAAUGCAUCAACAUUUGUAAGUUGUAACCUCCGUCCUCCAGUUUACUUAUUGGAUAUCUACUUUUGUAGUCCCUCUGUAUAUGGGCCUUUGAAGUGGGCUUUUCUUUAUGCUCGGCCCAUAUGAACAUGAAUCAUCAAGUCAAGAGAUGAUAAUUUCAUUAAUCUAGUUUUAAACGAUUCUUUUUUGGUA